rnacentral:rRNA from 1 species
UGCCAGCAGCCGCGGUAAUACGAAGGGGGCUAGCGUUGUUCGGAAUUACUGGGCGUAAAGCGCACGUAGGCGGAUUGUUUAGUUAGAGGUGAAAUCCCAGGGCUUAACCCUGGAACUGCCUUUAAUACUGGCAGUCUAGAGUCCGAGAGAGGUGAGUGGAAUUCCGAGUGUAGAGGUGAAAUUCGUAGAUAUUCGGAGGAACACCAGUGGCGAAGGCGGCUCACUGGCUCGGUACUGACGCUGAGGUGCGAAAGCGUGGGGAGCAAACAGGAUUAGAUA